rnacentral:rRNA from 1 species
AUUGAACGCUGGCGGCAGGCCUAACACAUGCAAGUCGAACGAGUGGCGGACGGGUGAGUAAUGUCUGGGAAACUGCCCGAUGGAGGGGGAUAACUACUGGAAACGGUAGCUAAUACCGCAUACCCUCGGAUGUGCCCAGAUGGGAUUAGCUAGUAGGUGGGGUAACGGCUCACCUAGUCGACGAUCCCUAGCUGGUCUGAGAGGCUGCCCAGCCACACUGGAACUGAGACACGGUCCAGACUCCUACGGGAGGCAGCCGUGGGGACUAUUGCAAUAUGGGCGCAAGCCUGAUGCAGCCCUGCCGCGUGUAUGAAGAAGGCCUUCGGGUUGUAAAUUACUUUCAGCGAGGAGGAGUUACUCGCAGAAGAAGCACCGGAGAACUCCGUGCCAGCAGCCGCGGUAAGAC